rnacentral:sRNA from 1 species
CAAAGCACUCCCAAUCGUCAAACAACAUCCAAAACCCAUGGCUACUGCACGCUGGGGAAGGAUGAGAAGCUUCGACAGGUUCGAGUUGAGCGUAGCGAAACAACGCGCUUUAGCGCGGCCCGCAGGGCGAGUCGCCACGCGACGAGUUAUCCUUCCCCCACCACCA